AUUUAUUAUACAUUUAAUAAGUCUGAAUAGAUUGGCCCAAAAAAAAAAGCCCUAGCCAAAAUGUUACUUACCCUUGUCAGAGGGAAAUCAUUUCAUUGGAGGAAAGAUGCAGUAGCCUUAUUCCCUCUAUAAAACUAACAAUUUUCCGGACCACCCAUAUCAGUUUUUUGGAGGUCGAAUUUUACACAAGAAAUCCGAACAUCAUCCCCCGAAUUCUCAAAUAGCAGUAGCAAUACACAGUCAUAAACUAGUGUUUCCCAAAAAAAUGAAAUACCAAAUACUACUAAAUAACCUAUACAUCCAAAAUUUCCACUCCUAAACUGCUGGAACUAGCUUCUAACCCUCACAAAAAUCCAAGAUAUACCCACAAAACCCGGAAGAAGGCCUUGACUCUAUCGUCGUCCAUCUAGGAGUUUCCAAGGGGAAGGAACACGUGAAUCCAAGAAGCAAAAUCCACCACAACCUGAAAGCAGAAGGAGAUCCCAUAUGAAGUGGUAAGGUAUUCCAAAACCUGCAUCGAUUCGGCCGUUCAUGACACUAUUUCGUGUUUAUGUGCUUUUUUUGUUCUUACUAUCCUUUGUUAAUGCUACUUACCAAUAUACUUCAUAGCAUGCUAUUAAACAACCUACUUAAACAAUGAAAGAAUCAAAGAAUAAAAUGAGUAAAUUACACCAACUGAAAUACCCACAUCCCAAAUAAGCUGAAGCCUCUUCAAAUUGACCAACUGUUGCCUACCUUAACACCAUUAGCAUCAAAGACCCAAGUACCAUACAAAUACUAGAAAUUUGGAAUCAAUUUCACAAAAAAAUUACGAGUCAUCCUAACAACUUUAUGGCUGGAAUUUCACAAAAAAAAUCAGUUAAAUCAAAUAUUUUGUGGUGUCAAAAUGGUUGGUUUUGCAUCAAUUUUGAGUGGGUCAAGUUUUUACUGAUUGAUGUGCAUAUUUAUUUGUGCCUAAGAAAAGGGAUGAUAAGUCCCUAUUUUAAUCGAGUCAGUUGGCUAGCAAAUAUUGAAAUAAAAAUCUCAUACUUUGCUUUUUUGCCUUUCCGAAUCGGAUCAAGUCAUUCCCCCAUUCCGACUCCCUCGAGCAAGUCAAUCCGCAAACUUCAUCCUAUACCUAAAGUAACAUCAAAAGCAAAAUCAGAUUCCACCCUCGCAAACAGAGUGUUUAUUAAAGAUAAUAAAAAUAGGUCUUUUACCUGUUCGGCCGCUCCCGUGGACGUCCGGUUCACCGGCGACGAAUCCAGGACCGAUGGUCUUGUUUUCGUCGGUGGAUCCAUUCAUCUACCCUGCCGAUACCCAAUUAAACCGCAAUGAGUUAGAUUAAUCAUAAGAAGAAACUAUAAAUGAAAGAUAAAACCAUAGAUUUGUAGAUCGGGGCUUGCAUAUCGCCAGAUGCAUCUUUCGGGGACAUACAAGGCCAGAUUUUGCUAAAAUCGAAAAUAAGAGAGGAGUAGGGGUGGAGUAGGGGUGGAGACGAUGUUUACCUCUGUUUUUGCUGUUGCGGCUGACUCUACGAGGCAUGGAAGACGAGGCGGAGAUGACGAGAAAGAGAGGGACGUGGCUGGAUAUUUACUUCAGUCAUCUUCUCGCCAUCGUCGCCGCCUCUACUGAUGAAUGGAGGAGGAAAUCACGAGUGAUGGUUUUGUUCUUCUCUUCUGAAAGAUGAUGACGAGAGAGAGCAGUUCAGAGGCGGGAGGAGAGACGUGAUUUCGAUCUCUGUUUAAGUAUUUACACCUAGGAUAUUAAGGCUCUAGGCCAUAAUCUAUUAUUAGUUGAUGGAC
rnacentral:lncRNA from 1 species